UACGUAGGGUGCAAGCGUUAAUCGGAAUUACUGGUCGUAAAGCGUGCGCAGGCGGUUUUGUAAGACAGGCGUGAAAUCCCCGGGCUUAACCUGGGAAUGGCGCUUGUGACUGCAAAGCUGGAGUGCGGCAGAGGGGGAUGGAAUUCCGCGUGUAGCAGUGAAAUGCGUAGAUAUGCGGAGGAACACCGAUGGCGAAGGCAAUCCCCUGGGCCUGCACUGACGCUCAUGCACGAAAGCGUGGGGAGCAAACAGG
rnacentral:rRNA from 1 species